rnacentral:lncRNA from 1 species
CAAACAAUUCUGCCUCAACGAUUCAGGUUUCAUUUCUGAGCUUAAACUGAGUUAAAUUCUGAAAGUUUGAGGAGAUUUUUGGGUUAAAUUGUGAGACUCUUUUAGCUAAGACUUAUUUUGCUGGUUUGUCAUUGUUUCUACUGUUGAAAUUGGAAUUUAGUAGCUAUUUAGUUUAGAGUUAAGCUUGUCUACUGCUGGUGAAUGUCGAAUGAGUCUUUUGAGCUUGAAUUCGUAAGUUCGACGCGAAGUUGUUAUUGGUUGAACUAUUGUCGUGUCGUUGUUUUUCUACUGUCUAAAUCUGGAGAGUAGUGAUUGAACUGAAAUCUGUCAUAGCUUCUAUCAAGCUCUUGUUUGGCUGAAGUUCAUAAUAUAAAUUUAGUCUCCUUCUGCAUUUUGUGCACCAGUUCUGCAUUGUUUGAACUUGAAAGUCUUGACCCUAAGAGUUAGCUUAUUCAACUACUGGUUUGAAAAAUUGUACUGCUGGUUUCAUUUUGUGAGUUGAAAGAGUCCACCUGCUGCCACUGUUUGUGGAAGAGUUUCAGGUUGCACUUAGCUUCAGUUUGAACAUAGUUGGGCAGCAACUUGAACUGCAAAAUUCUGCAGAGAAGAACUCAAUUGAACUGUGCUUUUGACAGUAAUUUCUGCAUUUUUUUUUGUUGACUGUUUUAAGCUGAAUCUGUCUGUGCUGCUUCUGUAUUUUCCACACCGUUCAGCAGUAAAUACUACCUGUUUCUCCUCUGUUUGAGCAGUAAAAUCUGCCUAGUUAUGUACCCACUGCCAGUGCACUAGAUAAGUUUUUGCACCUGAAUUUGAAGUCACUUGGAUAAGUUUUCUGUUGGUGAAAUUGGCUUGAACUGUGAGUCAAGGUUUGGCUGCAAGUAUCUGCUGAGACCGGCGCUCAAUUGAGCAGUAAAUUGAGCUGAAGUUUCUGCACACUAAAUUAAGACUCUUUCUGCAGUUUUGCCCAGAAAUCGGUCGUGUACAUGUUCUACUUUAGUGUUUGCACCAGAUUUCUAUCUGUUUGUUCCUCAGAAGUUCAGUUGAGUUCUAUGGAGUAUUGUUUGCUGCUGAUUCAAGAACUGAAUACUUGUGUGAAUGUGAUGAGCCAAAAGGUCAUCUUAUGUUUUAGAACUUGAUUUCGUGUUCCCAGGCCUUCAAAACCUCAUUUUAUCUAUCAUCGAUUUGCAUGCGCAGUCGGGGCAUAUUUCUAGAAAGCUUUUAUUUGGAAAAUUGAUGAAAUAAUAAUUUUGGAUUAGAUUUUAGUUGACUUCGGUCAACGUUUUAAGUAAACGGACCCGGACCCGUAUUUUGACGGUCUCGGUGGGUCCGUAGUAAAAUAUGGGACCUGUGUGUAUGCCCAGAAUCGAAUUCCGUGGUCCCUAGCUCAAGAUAUGUAUUUUUUAUUAAAAUUGAAAAAUUGAAAUUAUAAUGGUUUUAAAAAUUUGGUUAAUAUUUGAUUUUGUUGGUAUCAGCUUCACAUUUUGGUUCCGGAGCCCGAUACAGAUCCGUUAUGAUAUUUACACCUUAUAUGUGAAAUUUGGUGAGAAACGGAACUGAUUUGACGUGAUUCGGACCUUCGGUUGUGAAAAUAGAAGUUUUAAAACUUUCUUGAAAAUUUCAUGCAACUUGGUGCUAAACUUGUGGUUCUAGGUGUUAUUUUGGCGAUUUGAUCGCGCGAGCAAGUUCGUAUGAUGUUUUAAGACUUGUGUGCAUGUUUGGUUGGGAGCCCCGAGGACUCGAGGGAGUUUCGGAUAGGCUACGGGAUGAUUUACACUUAGAAAAUCUGUUCUAUGUUGUUGCAUCUGGUGUACUGAUGCCUUGUGCUUCGCGAUUACGAAGCCAAUCUCGCGAAGUGGAAAUUGGCAGGGGGUGGUUUUCCUCUACGCGAUUGUGGAGCAACGAGGGUGUUACCCUUCGCGAAUGCGAAGAAUAUGGGACCCGGGGGAGGGGUCAUGCUCUUUUACGCGAACGCGACCGUUGGGUCGCGAACGCGAAGGCCGGGGGGGAGCUACCUUAUGUGAACGCGUAGAUAGGCUCGCGAACGCGAAGGCCUUAGGGCGCUGUGCAUCGUGAUCGCGACAGGUCUUCCGCGAAUGCAAUGAAGACCUGUCCAGUGUUUUUAAAACAGACUUCAAAUCGGGAAUUGUUCAAAAUUUCAUAUCUCUUUCACUAGAACUCAACCUAGGGCGAUUUUUUAAGAGAGAAUUCAACACCAAAUCAUAGGUUUGCCUUUUAACUCAUUUCCUUCAAUUUCCAUCAACACCCAUUGAAUUCCUAGUCCUAAAUCUUGUUCUUUAACGGUAGAAAAUUAGGGAUUUUGGGAGAAUUGAGGAUUUUGCAAAUUUGGGGAUUUAUACCUCGAUUUGGGAUCGGAUUCCGGAACGAAUUACAUAUUUGGGCUCGGGAUGAACGGGUGAAUGGGUUUUGGUUCUAACCUAGAGUUUUGACCAAGCGGGCUCGGGGUCGGUUUUUGACUUUUUGGGAAAAAUAUUGGGAAACUUAUAAUUAUGUAUUUGAAUUGAUUUCUUUAGCAAUUAUCGGAGUUAUUGUGUUAAUUAUGACUAGAUAUAAGUGGUUUGGAGAUGAAAACUAGAGGAAAAGCGGUAAUUGAGUAGUGAAUGGCCUGUGAAUCGAGGUAAGUGUUGUGUCUAACUUUAACUCGAGGGAUUAGAGAUUCCCAACUUAAUUUGCUAUGUGAAAAUCCAUGUGAGUGGCGUAUAGGCGAGGUGACGAGUACCUAUGCGCCGCCAAAUUAUCUGUUUUGCCUGUUCCUUUCCCCGUUCUUAAAAUAUUGUUUUCCUGUCUUAACUUCUACAUGUUUAUUGGUAUUUUCAUGUUUAAUUGCUACUUGUUAGACAUUGUUUUUCAUUAUUGAAGGUAUUUGCUAUCCCGUAGUUUCAUUGUAUUAUAUUAUUGGUUAAGCUGGUUUAUUGGUGUUUUAUAGUACAUCUUGGGUUGGUCUCGCUGUGUAGUAUUAAUUGAGUGAAGUUUCAUAAUUGUAUAGCUUUCUGUUUGCUUUGGUUUGAGGUUUAAAUAUUGUGGAAAGUUUAAAGCUAAAUUGUGAAAUUCCUAUUCUUAUUGUGUGAUUGGUACUAAUAUGGUAGGAUCGGGUUGCGCGCCGCAACAAGAGGAAUAACGGUGAUAUAUUGAGGAGGAAUAAGAGUGAAAUGCUAUUAUAUGGUGGGAUCGGGUUGCACGCCGCAACAUGAGUAAUAAGGGUAGUAUAUUGAGGAGGAAUAAGGGUGAAUUACUAUUGUACGGUGGGAUCGGGUUGCACGCCGCAACAGGAAGAAUAAGGGUGGAUUGAUAUGGAGUAAUAAGGGUGAAUAUUCAUAUUGAUAUUGAUUAUAUGGUGGUAUCAGGAUGCACGCCACAUCAGUUUAUGUGUUUAUGUGUCUUUCUUCUACUGUGCAAUUUAUUUUGCAGUUUGGCUUAUCACUUAAGGAUUGGUUAUAGCUGGGUAUUGAUGAGAUACCAGAGUUCUGUAUUCUUUCCUUGCAAGUUACUAUUUUAUUUGUUGCAUUCUUCUUUCUGUUUUAUUAUGCACUGCAUGCAGGUUAUAUUCUAACUGCCCCGCCGUAGCCUCGUCACUAUCUUGUCGAGGUUAGGCUCGGCACUUACCAGUACAUGGGGUCGGUUGUACUGAUACUGCACUCUGCACUUUUUGUGCCGUUUUCGGAGCAGGCAGUGGUUGAUUGAGAGAUUGGCUUCACAGUUCACAUUUAGCAGACCCAAGGUAGUCCUGUUGGCGUCCGUAGGCCCUGGCGUCCCCUUCUACAUCUCUAUUGUACUGUUUUAUUUACUUCCAAAACAGAUGUAAUUUCUUUCAGACCGAUGUUUGUAGAUAUUCAUAGUAUGUCCGUGGAUUGUGACACCAGAUUUUGG